CGGCCACACUGGGACUGAGACACGGCCCAGACUCCUACGGGAGGCAGCAGUGGGGAAUAUUGCACAAUGGGCGGAAGCCUGAUGCAGCGACGCCGCGUGGGGGAUGACGGUCUUCGGAUUGUAAACCCCUUUCAGUAGGGACGAAGCGUGAGUGACGGUACCUGCAGAAGAAGCACCGGCCAACUACGUGCCAGCAGCCGCGGUAAUACGUAGGGUGCGAGCGUUGUCCGGAAUUACUGGGCGUAAAGAGCUCGUAGGCGGUUUGUCACGUCGUCUGUGAAAUCCUCCAGCUCAACUGGGGGCGUGCAGGCGAUACGGGCUGACUUGAGUACUACAGGGGAGACUGGAAUUCCUGGUGUAGCGGUGAAAUGCGCAGAUAUCAGGAGGAACACCGGUGGCGAAGGCGGGUCUCUGGGCAGUAACUGACGCUGAGGAGCGAAAGCAUGGGGAGC
rnacentral:rRNA from 1 species